rnacentral:rRNA from 1 species
UACGGGGGGGGGCAAGCGUUGUUCGGAAUUACUGGGCGUAAAGGGCCAGUAGGCGGCCAACUAAGUCCGACGUGAAAUCCCUGGGCUCAACCCAGGAACUGCGUCCGAUACUGGAAGGCUUGAAUCCGGGAGAGGGAUGCGGAAUUCCAGGUGUAGCGGUGAAAUGCGUAGAUAUCUGGAGGAACACCGGUGGCGAAGGCGGCAUCCUGGACCGGUAUUGACGCUGAGGCGCGAAAGCCAGGGGAGCAAACGGG